rnacentral:rRNA from 1 species
CCUGGUUGAUCCUGCCGGUAGUCAUAUGCUUGUCUCAAAAGAUUAAGCCAUGCAUGUGUAAGUAUGAACUAUUUCAGACUGUGAAACUGCGAAUGGCUCAUUAAAUCAGUUAUAGUUUGUUUGAUGGUGCGUGCUACUUUCUGGGAUAACCGUAGUAAUUCUAGAGCUAUCGUGCAACAAACCCCGACUUCGGAAGGGAUGCAUUUAUUAGAUAAAAAAAAAAGGCUGGCGUGGGCUUUGCUGCGCUGCUCCGAUGAUUCAUGAUAACUUCGGCGGAUCGCUUGCGGCCCUCGUGCGGCGGCGCAUCAUUCAAAUUUCUGCCCUAUCAACUUUCGAUGGUAGGAUAGGGGCCUACCAUGGUGGUGGCGGGUGGCGGAGAAUUAGGGUUCGAUUCGGAGAGGGGCACGGCGGCUACCACAUCCAAAAAAAAGGCAGCAGCGGUAGCGCCAAUUACCCAAUCGACCGGGGGGAGGUAGUGACAAUAAAUAACAAUACCGGGCUCUUGAUGUCUGGUAAUGGAAUAAUACAAUCUAAAUCCCUUAACGAGGAUCCAUUGGAGGGCAAGUCACGGGUGCCCGGCGGCCGCGGUAAUUCCAGCUCAAUAGCGUAUAUUUAAGUUGUUGCAGUUAAAAAAAAGCUUCGUAGUUGGACUUUGGGGCCGGGUUGGUCGGUCCGCCUCGCGGUGUGCACGGUCGUCCCAUCCCUUCUGUCGGCGAUCGUGCCUGGCCUUAACUGGCGGGUGGGUGCCUCGGCGCUGUUACUUUGAAGAAAUUAGAGUGCUCAAAAAAGCCCCACGCUCUGGAUACAUUAGCAUGGGAUAACAUCACGGGAUUUCGGUCCUAUUGUGUUGGCCUUGGGAUGGGAGUAAUGAUUAAGAGGGACGGUCGGGGGCAUUAAAUUUUCAUAGUCGGAGGUGAAAUUCUUGGAUUUAUGAAAAGGCGAACCACUGCGAAAAGCAUUUGCCAAGGAUGUUUUCAUUAAUCAAGAACGAAAGUUGGGGGCUCUCGAAGGCGAUCGGAUACCGUCCUAGUCUCAACCAUAAGCGAUGCCGACCGGGGAUGGGGGAUGUUACUCUUAGGACUCCGCCCGGCACCUUAUGAAAAUCAAAGUCUUUGGGUUCGGGGGGGGGGUAUAUGGUGCAUGGCUGAAACUUAAAGGAAUUGUGCGGAAGGGCACCACCGGGGAGUGGAGCACUGCGGCUUAAUUUGACUCAACACGGGGAAACUUACCGGUCGGACACAUAGCAAGGAUUGACGGGCUGAGAGCUCUUUCUUGAUUCUAUGGGUGGUGGUGCAUGGCGUUCUUAGUUGGUGGAAGCGAUUUGUGCGGUUAAUUCCGAUAGCGAGCGAGACCUCGACACGCUAACUAGCUUCUGGCGGAGGCAUCCCUCAUGGCCAGCUUCUUAGAGGACUAUGGCGUUUAGGCCCGCGGAAGUUGAGGCAAUAACAGGUCUGUGAUGCCCUUAGAUGUUCUGGGCGCCGCAGCGCUUCUGCGAUGUAUUCAGCGAGUCUAUAGCCUUGGCGGCGGGCGGGGUAAUCUUUGAAAAUUUCAUCGUGAUGGGGAUAGAUCAUUGCAAUUGUUGGUCUUCAGCGAGGAAUUCCUAAUAAAGUAGCGCGAGUCAUCGGCUUUCGCGUUGACUACGUCCCUGCCCUUUGUACACACCGCCCGUCGCUCCUACCGAUUGAAUGGUCGGUGAAGUGUUGGGAUCGGCGGCGAGGCGGUUCGCCGCCCGUGGCGUCGCGAAAAGUCCACUGAACCUUAUCAUUUAGAGGAAGGAGAAGUCGUAACAAGGUUUCCGUGGGUGAACCUGCGGAAG